GAUGAACGCUGGCGGCGUGCCUAAUACAUGCAAGUCGAGCGAACGGACGAGAAGCUUGCUUUUCUGAUGUUAGCGGCGGACGGGUGAGUAACACGUGGAUAACCUACCUAUAAGACUGGGAUAACUUCGGGAAACCGGAGCUAAUACCGGAUAAUAUUUUGAACCGCAUGGUUCAAAAGUGAAAGACGGUCUUGCUGUCACUUAUAGAUGGAUCCGCGCUGCAUUAGCUAGUUGGUAAGGUAACGGCUUACCAAGGCAACGAUGCAUGGCCGACCUGAGAGGGUGAUCGGCCACACUGGAACUGAGACACGGUCCAGACUCCUACGGGAGGCAGCAGUAGGGAAUCUUCCGCAAUGGGCGAAAGCCUGACGGAGCAACGCCGCGUGAGUGAUGAAGGUCUUCGGAUCGUAAAACUCUGUUAUUAGGGAAGAACAUAUGUGUAAGUAACUGUGCACAUCUUGACGGUACCUAAUCAGAAAGCCACGGCUAACUACGUGCCAGCAGCCGCGGUAAUACGUAGGUGGCAAGCGUUAUCCGGAAUUAUUGGGCGUAAAGCGCGCGUAGGCGGUUUUUUAAGUCUGAUGUGAAAGCCCACGGCUCAACCGUGGAGGGUCAUUGGAAACUGGAAAACUUGAGUGCAGAAGAGGAAAGUGGAAUUCCAUGUGUAGCGGUGAAAUGCGCAGAGAUGUGGAGGAACACCAGUGGCGAAGGCGACUUUCUGGUCUGUAACUGACGCUGAUGUGCGAAAGCGUGGGGAUCAAACAGGAUUAGAUACCCUGGUAGUCCACGCCGUAAACGAUGAGUGCUAAGUGUUAGGGGGUUUCCGCCCCUUAGUGCUGCAGCUAACGCAUUAAGCACUCCGCCUGGGGAGUACGACCGCAAGGUUGAAACUCAAAGGAAUUGACGGGGGCCCGCACAAGCGGUGGAGCAUGUGGUUUAAUUCGAAGCAACGCGAAGAACCUUACCAAAUCUUGACAUCCUUUGACAACUCUAGAGAUAGAGCCUUCCCCUUCGGGGGACAAAGUGACAGGUGGUGCAUGGUUGUCGUCAGCUCGUGUCGUGAGAUGUUGGGUUAAGUCCCGCAACGAGCGCAACCCUUAAGCUUAGUUGCCAUCAUUAAGUUGGGCACUCUAAGUUGACUGCCGGUGACAAACCGGAGGAAGGUGGGGAUGACGUCAAAUCAUCAUGCCCCUUAUGAUUUGGGCUACACACGUGCUACAAUGGACAAUACAAAGGGCAGCGAAACCGCGAGGUCAAGCAGAUCCCAUAAAGUUGUUCUCAGUUCGGAUUGUAGUCUGCAACUCGACUACAUGAAGCUGGAAUCGCUAGUAAUCGUAGAUCAGCAUGCUACGGUGAAUACGUUCCCGGGUCU
rnacentral:rRNA from 1 species